rnacentral:rRNA from 1 species
UUUGGGCCCGAUCUCCCAACCCUUUGUUUACUGGACCACUUGUUGCUUCGGCGGGCCCGUCCCCCCAGGGGACCGCCGGAGGGCCGUCAAACGCCCUCUGGCCCGCUGCCUGUCGACGCCCAACCUUAACAAACUCUUUAACUAAACAUGUCAUUGUCUGAGUACCUGAUUGUAAAAUCAUAAGCAAAACUUUCAACAACGGAUCUCUUGGUUCUGGCAUCGAUGAAGAACGCAGCGAAAUGCGAUAAGUAAUGCGAAUUGCAGAAUUCCAGUGAGUCAUCGAAUCUUUGAACGCACAUUGCGCCCUUUGGUAUUCCGAAGGGCAUGCCUGUUCGAGCGUCAUUAUCACCCCUCAAGCCCCCGGGCUUGGUGUUGGACGGCCUGGUGGGGACCUCCGGGUCCCUCACCCCUCCUAAAGACAAUGACGGCGGCCUCGUUGGACCCCCGGUACACUGAGUUCUUUACCGAGCACGUACUGGAUCAAGGGUUCGCGGGACACGGUCUAAACCCCCCCUUAUUUCUCUAAGGUUGACCUCGGAUCAGGUAGGGAUACCCGCUGAACUUAAGCAUAUCA